UUUUAAUGCAUUGAUUCAGCAUCCCAAAGGCAUCUCUUCGUUCUCAGGGCUCCUGUGUGUACCCAAAGUUAAAAAGAAGUCAGCUGGAGGCAGCAGUGGCUGUUUGAAUGGGGUCAUGUGAGUCUCCCUUGUGUGCACGUGCAGUCGGUU